rnacentral:lncRNA from 1 species
AAUUUUAACUUUAAUUUUAAUUUUAAUUUUAAUUCUAUUAUAGGUGAUCCACAAUCAAUUCAGAACCUGGUCUUCUAUGGUGGCUCACAGUUCCUGCACCCUACAAUAUCGUGAAUUUUCUUCCUCUUCAUCUAAUGACAUGAAUAUGCUCCAGUGGAUCCUAGGAUAUCUUUCACAUGAGGUUACCCUUGCCCUUUGGAUGUCAGGUGGAACAAAGGGAUGGAAGAUUUUUUGUACUGGGACAUUCAGUAAACCCCUAGGCCUACCUAUUGUCUAGUCAGAGUUAGAGAAGCAAAUGAUGUCUGUGAGGGCCUACAAGGCACAAGAGGAUGAAAGUUUAACUUAAAGUUUAGAUGCUGAUAUUCUAGCUAGCAAUAAUGUAUGAUUGCCUCAUGUACUACUCUUUUUUUAUAUUUCUCUCCUAAUGUAUAAAGAUGGAUUUCAAAAGAUAGGCAGCCUGGGAUUCAAAUUCUGAUCAUCUUUUCACUUUGUAAACUAAUGGAUAUAUUUUUUUAAAACAUUGUGUUAAUACACGCCAAUGCCAAAGGCUUUUUACAGACUCAUGCGGAGUGGGAUGAUGCCCAGAAUGUCGAUAAAUUGACAGAAUAAUAUGAAGAACCCAACAGUCAUGUGCCAUGAAUUCUGCAGGCACAUUUGGACAUGAGGGUGAGCCAGAAGAUCAUUCUAUUUGGGAAAAUUUAAAUUGGGUGCAAGAAGCAUUAGCUAACAGUCUGAACCAAGGUAUGAUCCAAACUGAUAAAACUUGAUGAAGUUGGAAGAAGCAAAAGGGAGUUGGUAUGGAUCCUCAGAAUAAGACAGAAACACAAGGAGUUUCAAGGGCAUUUGACAACAUGAAGUGCCAGCUAUAUUAGGGCACAGCAGAAAAAAAAUGUUUUCUGGACAGACUUAAUUUCUGAAGUGCCUUCUCCUCUUA